NGGUUCACAAUCAUUGUGAUGAAAAGGGAAUCGGGUGAAAAUCCCGAACAGUCCCGCUGCUGUGAUAUUCCUUUUCUGUGCAAACGAUUUGUGCCACUGAAUGACAAUCUUUUUGUUUCAUUUGGGAAGGCUGUUUGCGCUGGGAUUAAGUCAGAAGACCUGCCAUUGCCAAU
rnacentral:ncRNA from 1 species